CCCGGGGGAUGUUGGGGGCUGCGUGUGCCCGGGAGCUGCGUCGGCUGUGCGGGAGCUGCAGGAACUAGUAAAUUCAGCUAAUAAGCCCUGUUGAGAUCCAGCAGACUCUUCACAGGCACUUUAAUCCGCGUUUGAACUCCACAAAGUGCCUCAGCUCAUUUUGCAUCCACAGAUAUUAACAUUUUAGAUGAUGAGAAAACUUGCCC
rnacentral:lncRNA from 1 species